rnacentral:misc_RNA from 1 species
AAAGUCAAAUAGUACGUGAAAUUGUUGAAAGGGAAACGAUUGAAGUCAGUCGUACCGAUGGAUAUUCAACUCUUUCGGGUAUGAUUAUGGCGGGAGUGGGAAGAUCUCAUCUCGUUAUAUUUUGUACCUCUGGGGUGUAUUUGUCCGUAUGGUAGGUUAGCAUCAAUUUUGGUCGUCAUAAAAUGACGGGAGGAAUGUAGCUUCCUUUUUGGAAGUGUUAUAGCCUCUGGUAGAUGUGAUGAUCGGGAUUGAGGAUUGCAACGGAUACCCUUCGGGGCUACCUGUCUGAUCUCUGGUCGUCGCUUUGGUGCUGAAAGCGUGCUUACAGUAUUAAAGUCUGGUGGUCAAAAGGUUAGAACGGGUUAAAUUCGUUAAGGAUGUUGACGUAAUGGCUUUAAACGA